GAUGAACGCUGGCGGCGUGCCUAAUACAUGCCAGUCGAGCGAACGGACGAGAAGCUUGCUUUUCUGAUGUUAGCGGCGGACGGGUGAGUAACACGUGGAUAACCUACCUAUAAGACUGGGAUAACUUCGGGAAACCGGAGCUAAUACCGGAUAAUAUUUUGAACCGCAUGGUUCAAAAGUGAAAGACGGUCUUGCUGUCACUUAUAGAUGGAUCCGCGCUGCAUUAGCUAGUUGGUAAGGUAACGGCUUACCAAGGCAACGAUGCAUAGCCGACCUGAGAGGGUGAUCGGCCACACUGGAACUGAGACACGGUCCAGACUCCUACGGGAGGCAGCAGCAGGGAAUCUUCCGCAAUGGGCGAAAGCCUGACGGAGCAACGCCGCGUGAGUGAUGAAGGUCUUCGGAUCGUAAAACUCUGUUAUUAGGGAAGAACAUAUGUGUAAGUAACUGUGCACAUCUUGACGGUACCUAAUCAGAAAGCCACGGCUAACUACGUG
rnacentral:rRNA from 1 species